rnacentral:rRNA from 1 species
AGUGAACGCUGGCGGUAGGCCUAACACAUGCAAGUCGAACGGCAGCACAGUAAGAGCUCGCUCUUACGGGUGGCGAGUGGCGGACGGGUGAGGAAUACAUCGGAAUCUACUUUUUCGUGGGGGAUAACGUAGGGAAACUUACGCUAAUACCGCAUACGACCUACGGGUGAAAGCAGGGGAUCUUCGGACCUUGCGCGAUUGAAUGAGCCGAUGUCGGAUUAGCUAGUUGGCGGGGUAAAGGCCCACCAAGGCGACGAUCCGUAGCUGGUCUGAGAGGAUGAUCAGCCACACGGGAACUGAGACACGGUCCAGACUCCUACGGGAGGCAGCAGUGGGGAAUAUUGGACAAUGGGCGCAAGCCUGAUCCAGCCAUACCGCGUGGGUGAAGAAGGCCUUCGGGUUGUAAAGCCCUUUUGUUGGGAAAGAAAAGCAGCAGGUUAAUACCCCGCUGUUCUGACGGUACCCAAAGAAUAAGCACCGGCUAACUUCGUG